UAACCUUGUGGUCGUGGGU
rnacentral:misc_RNA from 1 species